CCGCAACGGUUUUAACCGCUAUAGAGCGAGGAGGACUGUUCUUCACUUGAGUAAUAGGCCCAAGUGUUGCAGUGUAUUUGUACAAAAGCCUACUUAACCCAAGUAAAUCAGUAAAGGACAUGUGAAGGAAUCUCUGCAGUACAGGGGCACGGGUACGCUGAGGAGUAUCAGAGAACAUCAAGAACAUAAAGAACAUAUGAAGUAAGGGAAGGAGGAGGACAUUUAUCCCCUCAAGCCUUCCCCACCAUUCUAUAAUCAGGGCUGAUCUCUCCCAAGCCUCAACUCCUCUUCCAUUUCUCAUCGAUUUCAAUUGCUUGAUAUUUCAAAAAAAAAUUACCUCUCUUUUAAAUACUUUGUGAUCUAGUCUCCAAAACACCAAAACAGAAGGUAGAGAAUUCACUACCUUCUGUGAAAUAACUCCACAGAGGUUGGCAUCCAGUCACUAAGUCACCGUUAUUUACACGUGGAGAGUCCUUGACACUGAUCCAGCUCCCUCACAACCAGCUCUCA